GCGUGCGAUGAUGGUAUACCAUCUUUCGGGUCUGAGUAUGAUGACACCCAAUCACACUGAGCACGC
rnacentral:snoRNA from 1 species